rnacentral:lncRNA from 1 species
AGGUCAUAUAUCAGCAUGGCGAUGACAAAAGCACAUACACAGUUGAUGACUACGUCCAAACAUUGUUAUUCACACCCUCUGCUAUCUAACUAUGUAGUGCAUGAAGCAAGUGAUGAUUGUUCACCACUAAUUAACUAGUAUGUUACUUUUAGGAUUCUAAAUUUUUUUUUAUAUAUUUCUUUACUCUAUUUUGAAAUGCGUUAUGAUUUCCUUAAUUCAUAGUGUAUUUGAAAUUUCAAUAAGAAAUUGUAUCUAAUUUUUUGUUACUUGAGAGUUUUAAUCUAUUCUUUUAUUAAUAUUUUAGAUUAAUAUACUUUAAUAUACAUGAAUUAUAGUUAAGAUGCAUUAAUAACAUUAAAAGAUGACAAUGAAAAGUUAGAAAGAAUGGUUAUUAUUAAAAUGAGAUAAAUUAUCCUAUUUUCGGUAAAAGAGAAUCAAUCAAUAUAUAAAGUCAAACAGUUGAUUGACCUUUAGGCUGUGUCAGCCAAUUCAAUAUUAUUUGCAAUAGUCAAUCCACUUGCACACGCCCAAGUUCCAACUUUCAACCGGUACAUGUAAAAUUGACCAUUAUGAUUUUUGAGUGUCUGACCAAGGUAAGUUUGAUGCUGGGACGUCGCUUGGAUCCUUAAUUUUGUCGAGAUUAACAACUCCAUGGUGAAAAUAGCCUAAAUUUGGGGUGUUACGUAACUCAUCUUUGUUAGCCUUUGUGUCCUGUAUCAAGUUUGGCAGAUAAGAACGUUGCUUCAAACACCAUAGAGAGUAGUUGGAACCUUCACCUCCUUGCCGGUGUUCAACUUGUCUAGCCACGAGAACCGUCGCAUCUGAUCGGUGGAUAUCCGCACUGCUCCAGCGUUCUCGAAACGCGUCUGUUCCACCGUCGGUCACCGUGUGUCUUGCGAGCUUUCUCUCUGUUUGAGCGUCGGUGCUGACGCGUGUUCGAGCAACCGUUCAGCCCUCUAUUCAACCAUCUUCAUUGAGUUUUAAAGCUGAUAGGUAUUGCUAUUGCCUUCUAUUUUGGAGCCAGAUUUGGGUUUGAUAAAGCUGAUAUGUAUGUCUCACUCUAAAGCGUAAAUAUUUUCUUAAAGUUAACUUGGAACUAUGUUUUGGGACUUGAGAUGGUUGGAACUUGGAAGUAAGAUAACAUUUGGGUCUUGCUUGUCUGGUUAAUGGCAUUGUUGCAACUUUGUUUAUGUUUGCCAUUCAUUCAUCCAUGAAGUUAUGAAUUACCUUGUAAUGCAGGAAACGCCUUUUCAAUAUGAUUAAUGAAGUGCCCACAAUAUUUGAAGUUGUUACUGGUGCAGCCAAGAAACAAGUGAAGGAGAAGUCUUCAGUUUCGAACCAUAGUGGCAGCAAAUCAAAGUCAAACACUAAAGCAGUAAAUAUUUUUCUCCUUGCACUUACACAUGGAAAUCAUGUAUUUUUUGUCUGUGCUUGUUUCUUUGAUACAGGAUCCCUUUAAAAUUGAGUAGUCCAUGAGUUAGUUAAUUUUUUUUUAUUUUUCGGGGUCUCAGUAGAAUUUCAAAAUAAUGGAAAGAUUGUGGAAAUUGAAAGUGGUGAAAGUAUGUGCAGCGUAUGCAUUGAAUAUUUAUCUAUCUUGGAAGGUGAAUGCAUCUCCUUUUACAACUUUUAUCCCUUUCAAAUAAGCUGUGCUCUAAAUGACUGAGUUGUCUGUUGAUUUUCAUAAAGUUUGAAAGCUAAGGUGAUUUGUUUUUCUCAUCCUUCUUCUUUGUUGGAUUAGUUGUUUUAACUAAUAUAUUGAUGUUUCAGUUCUUGCAAUUUAGUGUAAUAUUCAUAUGUUUAAGGAAGCUCCAUUUGCACAGUAGCCUGAUUGUUGAUAUUUACUAAUAUUGUAUAUAUGCAAUUAUCUUGAAUAGGCAAAUUGAAUAUUUUAUUAUCUUUGUGUUGUUUCUAUGCUUCUGUUGUGCAGAUAGCUUUGAUUAAAUUUAUUGGUUAUAAAAUCAUAAAUAAUAUUUCAAAUACUGAGAAUGCAUUCCUAAUUAUAUUUAUCACAGAUAUAAUCAUUUGGGAAUUUCUUUUUGCCUUUUCUAACUUGUUACUUACUUUAAUAUAUCAGAUAUUUGGAAUUGGAUUAUACUUAUCACAAAUUAUAAGUUGGCAUAGAUUAUGUUAAAGUUUGUUGCUGCCGUGUACGAGUAGCCAUUUGAGCAAUUUUUGAGUUGGCCGAUUUUCCAUGGUGAGUUUUUUUUAUAUUUUUGUUGGUUUGUUAUGUUAUUUAAAAUGUCAUUGUUAUGAAAGAAAGGAAAUUGUUGGUGAAGUUGAGUUUAUUUGGCUACAGAGGUCGGAAGUGGAAGACUCGGAGUACUAUUCAGAGGAGUUGGUCCGUGCCCCUGAUCCAGUCGAAGGUCUCCAUGUUGAUGGUGAAGGGAGCGAUGUAGGCGAGGAAGGGAGUGAGGGAUUUGAAGGUGACGAAGGUUUUGAAGAAGAGUCAGAGAUACAUGAUGAAUUUGGGGAUGAGUUCUAUGACAACUGGGAAGAAAGGGCAACUGAUGAAAUUGCUGAUCUAGGUUGUAUGAAUUUGAAGGAAAUCACAGUGGAAGAGAUUAAAAGUCUCCAUUUUCCGGAUCGGGAAGUCGCAUUUUUAUUCUACAACUUAUAUGCGAAAAUGAAUGGGUUUGUUGCUCGAAGGUAUAGGUCUCGGCGUAAUCUAAAUAACGAGAUGAUACAACAAUCUUUUGUAUGCUUCAGGCAGGGCUUUCGGAAGGCAAGAAUUUGUGAUGGAGUCGAAGUUGCUGAUCGGAAACGGGAGCCGAAGCCAGAGACUAGGUGUGGCUGUGAGGCAGAAAUGCGUGUCCAUAUCGACAAGGAUAGUGGCAGAUGGAUUGUAACAUACUUCCAGGAAGUUCAUAAUCACAAGAUGCUUGAGGACACACUUACUUUCAUGCUUUCAGGACAUAGAAGGAUGAACUCGGCGACAAUUGAUCAAAUGAAUAUGAUGUUAAAAGUCGGCAUCAAGACCCCACAGAUUUAUGCAUCGUUUGUGCAGACAGCAGGCGGGUGUGAAAAUGUUCCGUUUUUUAAGAGAGACAUGUACAACAGAAUUCACAACCAACGGAGGAUUAUUGGUGGGGAUGCAAGUGCGUGCCUUAUGUUGUUGCAACGUAUGAAAGUAGAAAAUCCGGGAAUGUUUGUUAGACACCUAGCGGACAAAGAAGGUCGUUUGGUGCAUUUAUUUUGGUGUGAUAACUGUAGUCAACUGGAUUAUGAAAUAUUUGGGGAUGUAUUAGUAUUUAAUGCGACAUAUUGCAAGAAUAAGUACAUGUGUCCGCUGGUGGUUUUCUCGGGGGUUAAUCAUCACAAUCAAACAAUCGUGUUUGCUGCUGCCCUUGUUGCGAAUGAGACAGAGGAAACAUAUAAGUGGCUACUGCAGCAAUUUUUAGAAGGCAUGAAGGGCAAGGCACCCAAAUGUGUCAUCACUGAUGGUCAUAGAGCCAUGAAGAAAGCAAUUGAAUCAAUUUUUCCAAAUUUGUAUCAUCGUCUAUGUGCAUGGCACUUACUCCGAAAUGCGACCUCAAACAAAAGCAAUCCUGUGUUCUCAUCUGAAUUCAAGAAAUGUAUGUUAUUUGACUAUGAAGUGGCAGAGUUCGAAGAGCACUGGAAUAAUGUGGUUUCUGAGCUAGGCCUACAAGAUAAUCCCUGGGUGUGUGAUCUAUAUGCUAGAAGACAUAUGUGGGCAACUGCACACAUCCGUGGUAAUUUCUUUGGGGGCUUCCAAACCACGUCAAGAUGUGAGGGGAUUCACUCUAUGCUCGGCAAGUUUGUGCAUUCCCGGCACAACUUAAAAGACUUUGUUGAGCAAUUCUUUUGAUGUAUCAGUCAAAUGAGGUCCCGGGAAGCAUUCUCUGACUUACAAUCCACUGUUGGGGAGAUGGUACUACAAAGCCCUCUACGAUCGCUUGAAAGGUCUAUGGUAAGUGUACUGACAAGAGAGAUAUUUCUUAUUUUCCGACCAAUGCUUUCACAGGCUUGCAUGUUAAAGAUAAGCUCUUGUACAUUCACAGCAUGUUCAGAUAUCUAUUCCCUAUUCCGGUCUGGAGAUUCUGCCCGAGAGUGGCGCGUUUCACAUUAUCGAAAUGGGUCAUUCUUCAAGUGUUCGUGCAUGAGGAUGGAGACCUUUGGGAUUCCUUGUGACCACAUUAUUGCAGUAUUUUAUCACCUUGAUAUCACUGAAAUGCCUGCGAGUGUAGUAUUGGAAAGGUGGUCAAAAGAUACCCGUUCGAGGGUGAGGGCUUUCAUGGAAAAGGGACCGUUUUGCUGGGAUUCGAUGGUUACCUGCCGCAAUUGGAUGUUGAAUGACCUAUGCAGGGAGUUGUGUGUCCUUGCUUCUGUACGAGUGGAUGAUUUUGUGGACGUCACUGGUAAAUUGAGAAAUGAAAUUUUGCACUUGAAAAGCAAGAGACUUUCUCCAAGUGGGGGGGAGGGGGGAAGGAGCUGAUCCUCUGGUGUCAUCUACUCUUGAGGAUUGCGUAAGAGAUCCACAUGUUUUAUGUCACCACAAGCGCCGUAAAUUUGGUGUGGGUAGGCAGCCAUCUACCAAGGGUGUAAAGAGAUGUGGAAUUUGCCGCGCGGUUGGCCAUAACCGAUUAUCUUGUUCACAAAGGCAUACACACAGGCAAGGACACGCUGCUGUUGGUAGUGGUACCCAACGGAGGGCUGUUUACGAAGAGGCUGAUUAUAGUGAGUAUUAAAAUUCAUGGGAAGAGGUUAGUGGAGUAGUAUGCGUUACGUUUUUCUUUUAAGUAGUUAAUUUUUCUAUAAGAUAAUUAAUAAUUAUAACUAAGUUUUCGGAUAAAUUUAAUAACCAAUAUAGUCCCGUCAUUGCAUAAAAUAUUACAGUUACAAACCACACAAAAUAAUACGAAGUAGUUAAUAAAUUCUAAACACUGCUGCUAACUUUGGGUCAUUUUUCAUACCCAAAGGAGCUUAUUUAGGCCAUGGACUUAUCACAUCCCAUGGAGCGAACUAUAAAUCUAGCCCAUCUGAAAUCACGACUGUCAAUGACUUGGUAACGGUACCCAUGUAUGCUCAUGCCUAUACACCUCCGUGCCAAUCUGCAACCCAAAUCCUCACCAAAUUUCCAAUUGCAUUGAAUGUUCUUCCCGCAAGCAAAACAGCAGUAUUCCCACGCAGAAUAUAAUCAUCAAGCUGGAGACGUUAUCAAAACAAGCACAACUUAGGCAAAUUUCUUGCUACNNNNNNNNNNNNNNNNNNNNNNNNNNNNNNNNNNNNNNNNNNNNNNNNNNNNNNNNNNNNNNNNNNNNNNNNNNNNNNNNNNNNNNNNNNNNNNNNNNNNNNNNNNNNNNNNNNNNNNNNNNNNNNNNNNNNNNNNNNNNNNNNNNNNNNNNNNNNNNNNNNNNNNNNNNNNNNNNNNNNNNNNNUAAGACACGUAUGUCUUGAUGGUCGGGCCGAGUGAUGUUACCACUCCACUUAUUUGCAAUGGGUUGAAAUUUUCCUCAGGGUGUAGCCAUGAUAUCACUCAAGAAGCAGAGUUGUAACUGUAAUGGACAAUAAACCUAUCAUCAUAUGAAAAGAUAUUCCGUUAAUGCUAAUGAAAUUCUAAUGAUCAUGAAGAAUGACCUUGUAUUGCAGUUGGGGAUUCCUUGGCCUCUACGAAUUGGCCAUUUAGGAAGCUUGCUAGGAGUGUAAACUGUAGCAGGUCCAUAAGCUGGAGAAGUCAUCAACUCAUGAAGCCUCCCUAGCUGGAAAUUAAAAACCAAUGACUACUCUUAACCAGAAACUCUUUGUUCUAUGUAGAAGACACACAAACAAACUAUUCAUCCCUUAUCAUUGUCCGCAUAAGUUUCUCCCUAUCAGUGACCAUGUUUGGCUCUGGCCAUGAGUCCAAUAAAUAAGCACAUUGGUUAGGAAAGUCAACGACCAUACACCACCAGUGCAUGAAGAUGUCUUCUACGGGAACCAAUAUCUAACACAAUGACACGUUAAAAUUAUUAUCCGUAGUGUUCAACUGCAAAUUUUAAGAUACUGCUUAUUUGUUCAAAAGACUCGAGAGUGAUAGAAGUUUAAAAAAUAUUUUUUGGGUCAUUCAUAAUAUUCAUACAAAAGUCGUAUGACAAUAUUUUUAUUAAAUUACAAUUAAUAAAUAAAAAUAUUUCUAAUUAUAUAAUCAAAUAAAAGAACGAAUAAAAAUAUUACUCACAUGAUCAAGAUAUCUGCUUGGUUUGACCCAGAAUGAGACAUAUGUUUCAACGAGCUCCUCUAUUGAUACACCACGGAUCACGUCAUCCUUAUUAAAAACAUAACACAUUAUCAGAACUCCACGGAUAAUAGUCCAAUUAGUGUUGUGUUUCAACACAUAUCUCUAACAUCACUCACAGCAAAUUUGGGAGGAAGAGUCUAGUAGUGUGCAUGUCUUAGGUGUUGUAUCAAACAUGCAUUCCGUAUCGCAACCAUUUCAACAGCCCUGCCAUCAAUCUCACGGCUGGACACGAAAGAUUGAAUCUGACGCCUGGUCAGGCGAUAUUUGCGCAUCCUAACUAGGGUCUCUCUGCAUGAAAUGAUACUCCGAUUAGUGGCUUCUUUUAAUGAAAUGAAGGUGUUAACAGAUCAUAUAAUAAAAUUCAACUUGGUAAGCUACACAUAACUUGCUCUAAAGGGUGCCCAUUGGAAAACAAAAACUUGAAUAGCACAAUAUCAGCCCGAUUAAGGUCCAUAUCAUGAUGGGGCUUGAAAUUCAUCUUCGUACUCUUCUGCCACAAGGUUCCAAAAUCAACAACUGGGAAACUUCAACUUAAAUGCAGCAACAACGACGACAUGAACAAAACUUACUCGAGUCACUUUAGAACAAGAAGCUCCUCUGGAACGCUUGGUAGGGGCUGAUGCAAUUCCCCUUGGUGUAUCAAAUAGCCUCCUAUUCUUCCUCAUGGGAGCUGUUAAUUGACCGCCUCGUUCAUCCUCGUCGGAGUCGGGAGCAGUCAAGUUAGCGAUGUCGAUAGCAUUAACACCCCACUGUGUUGGAUUCUUUGGAACAUUCGGGAGAGGACUGUCAAGAAUGUAUUCGGACAUGUCUUCAUGUAGCUGUGACGACAACAGAAUGCCACUGCCAUCUCUGUCACUCUUGGAAGAUACCUUUCCAUGAAGUGAAUACUCAGGAGACCUACAAAAGAGACAACUAGAACAUCAUAUAAGGACAGUGUCACCCUAGUUUACCUACAUGUAGCAACACUAUUCAAUUUAUUAUACAUGAAAAAAAUGACACCUAUUAGCAGCGGCCAUGCACCUCUUCAACGUUUGCAUGUGCAACUAUCACAAAAUUAUGAAUUAAUGAAGGUUGCAAUACCAGAGGUUUAUGUUAUAGUAUAUAUAACAUUAUUUUCCCUCCAUAUAUUUUUCUGCCAAAUUAUUCUUUGUUGCUAACAUCUUUUGUCUCCAUAUGCAGACAAAAAAAACCAGAGCAGACCUUCCUGGGUAACCACUGUCCAUGGACUGUAUCAGACAGACAAACUUUUUCUUAGUUCGUAGCAGCUUUAUGAGGUGGCUUAUUUAAGAUAUUUAUUUAAAUAUUUUUGAGGCCAUGAAAGAAUUAAAUGGUCUCAUUAAAUAUUCCACCUAACUACACCCUUCAUUAUCCUUUAUAAGAACGGAAAGUCCACUAAGGGAGACAAUUCCACAAACAAUUUGCAUCAAAUCUUCACCCAUCAUGGUGAGACAAAACAAGAAAGUCUAUGUGAUUUUUCGUGGGAAAAACCCAGGAAUUUAUACAACUUGGCCGGCAUGCCAUGCACAAGUUGAUGGGUUUAGUGGUAACUCAUACCAAUCCUUCAGAAACAUUGAUGAUGCAAGAAUAGCAUGGGUUGAGUACAUCAGUCAAACCAUGGGAGCUCAAACUGAAUGCUAUGCUGAAGACCCCCUCCAAGGCAGUCUAAUAAAAGGUGCUGCUAAAGACCACACUCAGCUCAAGGUUCCUCAUGCACCAAUUGUUGAUGGCUACGACCCUGGCUCCGAUCCACCACUACCAACACAACAGGAUUUGCUGCCUAAAGGUCAUUUACUAUUAUGGGGAACUAAGCCUCCACGUAUAUCUGUUAAUGCAGCUACCAUUCUCACCCUAACCAUUACUUUAUUGGUGCUUUACCUAGCCAUCCUUAAUAGGUAAAUUUACAACUUGAAAAUUCAUUCAGAAUUUUAUUAUUUCAACUUGUUACAGUUAACAGUUAAUUGUGAGAUUUAAGUCUAUAUCCUAAAAACUACUGUGCAUUAGCCUUUAUUAGGAUUUAAGCCUGUGUAAAUAUUAUUGAAAUCAUUGUUAGUUGAAUCUUAAUUCAAGUACCACAUAAAGCUAUCGACCUGAAAACAUCAUAUGUUAUGCCAAAAUUUCUUGUGUCACCGCAAUCACAAAAGCACCGUAACAUAAUUCAAGUUAUAAUAAAAUCCCUGAGACAAUGACACAAAAUAGGGUCCCUUUAUAUUUCACAGAAAAUGCUAAAUGCAUUUAAUGAGGUUGCCUCCCACUGCAAAUACAAACACGCUUCCGAAGUCUGAUUCACUCAUAUCCUCAAAACAGCCUUUUCAAUGAAGCAUACUUUAACCCUUUGUCAAGAGCAUAAGACAAAUUUUAAAGUACUCAAUACUACACAAAAAAUGUACUCGCUAUCACCAAUUUCAUAGUAGAAUAUUAGCACAAAUACUACUACAACAUAACUCUAAUUUCAUUAAUUAAUUCAACACCAACACAAACUUACAACAGAAUUAACUAGUCUACAAUCCCAUACAUAACACAACUAAAUUUACUAAGCCACCACCCUCGUCCUACGUACUACACCAAAAUGUAUUCAACCAAACAUAAGUUACAGAGAUUGACCUUCAAUGCGAGCGUUCACUGCAGCUUCAUAACUAGCCUUAAGCUUCUCGUAAACAUCCUCCAAUUGACCGACCUUAGCCCGAAGUGCAUUGUUACUAUCACGAAGAAGCUUAACUUUUAAGUAACUGUAGUCUUUAAUCUCCUUACCGGUGAUAUCAAGCACUUGACCAAGCAUCUCCAUUGCUGCAUCUUCGCGAACAGCCUUUUCCACCAUAGAAAAUCGUCCCUUGGCAUUUAAUUCAACCUCAUAUGGUUCACCAGGAACCACCACGGUAAAGCCAUAGAAUGGGCCUUGGUCUCUCAGAUAUCUCUCUUGCUUGAAGAAACAAGGAGCAGAAAUUUCAGAAUCAUAGCAAAGCUUCACCAACCAAUCCUCUAUGCUAUUCACUAUAGCAAAUUCAGCAUUCAGCUCCUCUUGCGGAAUGACUGGCAGCCCUGUUUGAACAACAGCAACAUCUUCACACUAAAAUUCCAAUAAAUUCAAAAAAUGUAACACCAAAAAGUAACACACUUACAAGAAACACUUGGACGGCCACAGAAACUUCCACACUUUGAGCCUCCUUUUUUACCACACACAGCAUCGACGGCACCACCCAUCAUUUCCAGAGUUGCACAUUUCUCAGCCAUAAUGCACCGCAAUCUUGCAUUGAAGACCAACACCAGCUUGUUGGUGACUGUGAAAUCACGAAGUUGCUCCCUAUCAUCUUCCCAGCUCGUGAAAACACCGGUGCGAGUGCCCUUCGUCACGGCAAAAAAAAGAUAUCGCUGCAUUGAAUCUUCCAUGCUUGACCUACUAUAGUGUUUCUUUUCUACUACAAUGUAUGUAUUGGUUAGAGGCCACCUAUUUUAUAAUAACAUUUCUUUGAAUUGAGUUCCACGGCCCAGCCCAACAACUCACUUAUUAUUUAAAAUAACAACAUUCAAGAUUUUGAACCAAACAAAACCAUUUUAUAAUAAUUAAUAGAUAAAGUAUAAAUAAAUGUAAUAAAACAUAUUUAUAAUUUAUCGUGAACCUUGAAAUUAAAUAGAACUAUAUCAACUAAAAUAUUAUGAAUCCAUCAAACAGCAACUUCAAUAAUGAGAUAACAAAGUUACAAUAAGUACUUUUUGAUUAUAAAUUAUCAAUCAGACAGAUUAUACAUGAGAGUCACAAACUGAACAAAGACAAAAACAAUUAUAUAUUAAUAACACAACAACUUAACAAAUUAACAAAUGAUAUCAAAUUAUAAGACAGAAAUAAUUAACAAGUUAUAACAAUUACAAUAAAAACAACCUCAACAUGAACUCAAAAUCACAACAACAAUAACAAUUAACACAGAAAAACAACACCACAACACUAUUAGGAAUAAUUAAAACACUGUAACAAAGUGACAAAUACCUCAAAAUCACCAUUGCUGACAAUAAUAAUUUGAUAUUUGUUUGCUCCAACAAUCAAAGGCUAAGUUUCUAUACACAUAGUGGUAAGUACCAUCAACGGAAAAGUGAAAAUUCCCAAACAAAUGGUUAAUCACAGCUUAAAAAAUUUUCACAAUCCCCUAUGGUUGAAGCAGCAAUCAACUUGACAAGGAAAGCAACACAAACCAACUUCUAAAGAGGAAGUGAACGUCGACGGCGAUGCUGAUAAGGUGCGUUUGUCGACCGACGAAGAAGAACCGACGACAGACUGAUGACGGUGAUUCCGGAGCACAAAAGACGCCGGCCAUCCUUGCAGCGGUGGUGUGGAAGCCUGGGUUUCGUUUAGUGCUUAAUGAACCACAUACAAUUCUUUUUUUGGUUAGAAGCAUAUACAAUUAUUUAAAAUCUACAAUUAAUUCUUUUUUUUGUGGUCUUCAAUCUACCAUCAAAUAAAAUCUGUAUUAUAGGAAGAAACUGAACGCUUUCAAAGAUUUAUUUUUUGAUAAUGUACUUUCAAACAUUUUAUUAUGCAUCACAAUCAAAAUAUGUUUUUGCAGACACCUACUAGAAAGCCUAAUUCUUUUUUUUUCACAAUUAACAAUUAGUGCUUUUUGAUUGAUAUUAUUUAUAACAAAAAAUAUAUAUAUAAAUUAUCAAUCAAACAGAUUAUACAAGGAAGUCACAAACUGAAUAAAGACAAAAACAAUUAUAUAUUAAUAAGACAACAAUCAUUUAAAAUCUAACAAUUAAUUCUUUUUUUUUUUUUUGCGGUCUUCAAUCUACCAUCAAAUAAAAUCUAUAUUACAGGAAGAAACUUAACGCUUUCAAAAAUUUAUUUUUGGAUAAUGAACUUUUAAACAUUUUAUUCUACAUCACAGUCAAAAUUUGUUUUGGCAGCCACCUACUAAGCCUAAUUCUUUUUUUUUUCGGUAAUUAAAUGCCCAAUUCUUAAAUCUCUCAACCAUUCAGUUUACUCCAAAAACCAUAAAUUACAAAGCCCAGUUAAAAUAGGCCAGCUUUUCAGACAAAAAAAAACUUUAUGUUACACACAAAAAAUAUUUACAAGCUGCUCAUAUAAUAACCCUAUAUCAUAUUUCUACCACAAACACUCCAACCACAAAUGUUUUACAAGAAGACGGGAUGUUCACAAUUCUCCUUUUAUCCUCUUUCUGCCAGUCUGUCACAUACACCACCACGUGUUAAUUUGCAACAAUGCCACGACAUCAAAAAGCAAACGGCGUGUGGAAUGCCCCUUUAGAAGGGGCGCUUCCUAAAACUUGCCGUUCACAUACACCGAUUACAUUUAAUGGCAUUAUUGCAUUAUCGAAAGAUAAGAAAAAUCAAUCAGUAAUGACAUUGACAUAUGGGUGCCCACAAAUUUCAAAAAACCUUUAUUGACACGAAAUUAAUUUUUAGAAGUUGCUUUGGCUCAUAGUGGCGGUUAGCGAGAAUCUAUAUAAGGCGCAGACAACAAUUGUGUUCAUCAUAGUCAUAAUAACAACAUACAUAGUUCUAACUUAGAGAGCUACUUGUUCAUAUGUCUACAGAUCAAUGGCUCUUGUUAUACAAGUAAGAGCUUCUUCGCUUUCAAGUUCAAUUCAUCAUCCUCGUCACAAUUCCAUGCAUCCACCAUGGAACUUGUCGCUACAAACAUCUAAAGGCCAAGGGACCAUUAUGCAUAGUAAAAAAUUAUCUAUCAAUUCCGUUCUUCUUCGUGAGAAGGUGCCCUUUGAUUAAUCUCUCUCUUAAGAUUUUUAUUUUACUUUCUUUGGGUAAAUUAAAGUCCCUCCAAGUACUUGAUUUAUGGAAGAAGCAAUCUUUUAAUAACUAUUUUUUUUUAUCAUGGUUUUAUAUACAUCAUAGAUACGCUUAAAAAAAAUAAUAUAUCUAUCGAUAAAUAAUGAGAUAAGUUUUAAAGUGGUCACUGAAAUUGCACUCGAGUUUUAUAGUAGUCCCUGAACUUAAAAGUUACCCAUAUUCGUCCCUGAAGUUGCAUUCCAGGACUCAAAUUCGUCCUUCCGGCACAUUCCGUCCCUGACACCACCGGAAAGCUGAUCUGGACUCUCCGUGACACGCUGGACAGGUAACGGCUAGCUGACGUGGAUUAGUAAACUUUUAUGGUGCAAUUUGGUCCCUAAAUCAAAAUUAAAAAUUUUAAUCCCCAAAUUUAAUCAUCAUUAUCUUUUAUACAGUAAUCCCUCUUUUCUCUACAGGCAUAGAUCUUCAUAUCCCAAAUUCACAAGAUUUUUCUUUUUGUUUAUUUUUAGUUGAAGUAUCUUAUAACAAUAACAACUAGAGUUUUCUUAACAACCAUUAUUUGAAUAAAUUUAACUGCUUUUAUCCCUUUUUUUUUUUGUAAGAUAGAUGGUGAGAUUAUAACAUAAAAAAAGUUAUGUGAUAUAUAUAAUUAAAGAAAUAAUGUAAAGUUUAGUUUCUAAAAUUGUGAACGUUCAUAAAAAUUUGUUGACUUUUAAAAAUGAUUAAAUUGAUCCAUAAAUUUAUAAAUUGUGAAUCUCAACUCAUCUCUAAUGCUAAUAUAAAAUGUUAAAAUGUCAGCAUGAUAUUUGCAAACAAAAAGAUGAUAUGAUUAAUAUUUUAAUAUGAUCAAAUUAGUGUCUUAAAUUAGUUAAUUAGAUUUAUUUUUCUUAAUUGGUUUUUUAUUAAUUAGAGACUAAAAUAAUAAAUAUUAAAUUAGGAAAAAUUUUGCUAUUUUUUGUUUCUUUAAUAUUACCCUUAAUUAAUUUGAAAUACCUAUUUAAUUAUAAUAAAAUCUUAGACAUGUCAUUUUAAUAGAGAUGUCAUACGAUUUGAAAUGUCAUAAUAUAACACUUUAUAUUAAUACUAUGUGAAUGACAGUUAAAUUAGGAUGAUGCAUGAUUAUUUUGAAACAGGAUUCGAAAGAAAAUGUAAUAUAGUAUAUAAUAAUAACGAUGUAACUUUUUAAUUCCGUAAAUACAAGAGAUAGAUUUUUGUAAAAUCAUAUAAAAAUAUAAAAUUUAAUUUUGUAAAACAUUUUAAUUAAACUAGAGUUAAAUGAGUGCAUAAAAUGUUAAAUACAAAGACAUAGUAUGUGACUUUUAAUUAACAAAACAUAUGCCUACUUUCAAUGAAGUUGUAAUUUGUAGUCUCUUUCACAUCCAUAUGGAGAAGAGAAGAGAAGAAAAGAAAAGAGAGGAAUUACUACUAUAGAGAAGAGAAUAAUAAUUAAAUUUAGAGAUUAAAAUUUUUAAUUUUAACUUAGGGACCAAAUUGCACCAUAAAAGUUUACUAAUCCACGUCAGCUAGCCGUUACCUGGCCAGCGUGUCACAGAGGAGUCCAGAACAGCUUUUCGGUGGUGCCAGGUGGACGGAAUAUGCCGGAAGGAUGAAUCUGAGUCCUGGAGUGCAACUUCAGGAACGAAUAUGAGUAACUAUUAAGUUCAGGGACUACUAUGAGACUCGAGUGCAACUUCAGGGACUACUUUAAAUCUUAUCUCAUAAAUAAUUGAUUAGCGUGAUAGAUAUUGUAAUAAUCUCCAAUUCGAGUCUCAAGUUAAAAAAAAAAAUCAAAUUGCCUCUCAGUGAAAUCUCAAAUGCUCAAAUAAAAUUAAUUAUCUUCGACAAAUAACAAAAAAAUGUAACUGUGUAUCCUAUUAAAGUAAUAAAUCUCAUCAGUUUGGCAUAUAUAUAUCAAAAAUGUUAUUUGUACACUAAAAUUAGCUACUAAAAUCAGUCAUCAAUGUAUUUAUAUACAAAUAUACUUGUAAUUUAAUUUAUUUUUAAUAUAUAUUUUAUACUAAUAGCUAAUUUUUGUAAUUAAUUUUAAUAUAUACCUAACAUAGUUCUUUAUAUACUACUUUUUAAAUGCAUCCAAAUUGGUAAUAAAAAGGCACUGGUUAUAUAGAAGAAGAGACCUGUUACACAUACAAGUCUUUUUGGCUUACAAGUCUUACAAGUUGGCACAAGCCCAACAAAAAACACGCAUUACACUCUCACAUUCAAGAGUAAAUAAACGCAUGUUAUCCAACCACUUCACUCACCAUGCAUUAUAAACGACUCUUCUUCUUCUUCCUCCAUGAAAACGAGUUUCUUACCAAAUUUGAAGAUAAUGGAAAUUCAGAAAUACACCCAAACGAUUAUAGAAAUACACUCAAACGAUUACAGAAAUACACCCAAAUAAUUACAGAAAUACACCCAAACAGUUAAAGGAAUUCACCCAAACGAUUAUAGAAAUACACCCAAAGGAUUACAAAAACUACACCCAAAGGAUUUAAGAAAUAUACUCAAAAUUCGUUGAAGUACACCUUAUGCAUAAUUCAGAACUCUUUCUCUUUCUUCUCCUCAUCUUCUGUUGCUUCUCUUCUUCUUCAAAAAUAAUUUUAGAGCUUGAUGUCAAAAAACAAUGAAAAUCGAGAAUAACGAAGAAAAAAAACAAAGAAAAAAGUACGUAAAUAAAGAAGGAGAAAGAGAAUGCAAGAAACGAAAAAAAAGAAGAAGAAGAAGAGAAAGAGGAAGAGGAAGAAAGACGUGCAGUAAGAAGAAGAAGAAGAAGGUGCAGUGAAAACGUGCAGUAACGGUUGAAGAAGGAAAAAGAAAAGGCAAGAAACGAAAGAAAAGAAGAAGAAGAAGAGGGAGAGGAAGAAGAACGUACGCAAGAAGAAGAAGAAGAGCGUGCACUUGUAAAGACUUGUAUAAAAAAACGCUUGUAUGUGAAGAAUUUCUCAUAGAAGAAAAAGAGGAGCUAGUAGAUAUUAAAGAUCUUACAGUUUGUAUAUUCAUGGUUAAUAAAUUAACUAUAUUAAUUUUUGGUUUCAAAGGUGACAAGGCCUUAAAUUCCUUUUCUGCAGUUAAUUAUUUUCCUAUUUUGGUUUGGUUUUGAUGUUGGGGUGAUAGGCGGAGUGUCUUGAAAGUAAUGAUAGGAAGAAAAGCUUGGAGCAGGUGAAGAAAGAAGGGCAAGAAGCAUUGCUAAAAAAGUCAAGCGAUCCAGUGGGAACAAUGAAAAUAAUUGAUAGCAUUCAAGAGCUGGGAAUUGGGCACCAUUUUGAAGAAGAGAUCAAUGCACUUCUUGGAAAGAUAUGCCACUGGGAUGCCUCACAAGACCUAUUUGCCACAUCCCUUCAAUUUCGCCUCCUGAGGCACAAUGGCUGGACCACUUUUCCUGGUAUGUAUUACCUUUAUUCAACUAAUUAAUAAAACUUAAGUGAAGUUGACUUCACAUGAAGUUGACUUCACAUGAAGUUGAUACCUGAGAGCCGUUAGAUGAAAAUUUAGUCAAAUCAGUUAAAUCAUUUAACGGCUUUUAGGUAUCAACUUCACGUGAAAUCGACUACACUUGAGUUUCCACUUUAAUUAAUCCAUUUGCAUUUGGCAAGUUGAUAAAUAAUAAUUGAUACACCCUCUGCUAUCUAGCUAUGUAGUGCAUGAAUCAAGUGAUGAUUGUUCACCACUAAUUAACUAGUAUGUUACUUUUAGGAUUCUAAAUUUUUUUUAUAUAUUUCUUUACUCUAUUUUGAAAUGCGU